CCUACGGGUGGCAGCAGUGAGGAAUAUUGGUCAAUGGGCGAGAGCCUGAACCAGCCAAGUCGCGUGAGGGAGUACUGCCCUAUGGGUUGUAAACCUCUUUUGUCGGGGAGCAAAAGCCGGACGUGUCCGGCUGUGAGAGUACCCGAAGAAAAAGCAUCGGCUAACUCCGUGCCAGCAGCCGCGGUAAUACGGAGGAUGCGAGCGUUAUCCGGAUUUAUUGGGUUUAAAGGGGGCGCAGGCGGAUUUUUAAGUCAGCGGUAAAAUCGUGGGGCUCAACCCCCUCCAGCCGUUGAAACUGGGGAUCUAGAGUGUGCGAGAGGUAUGCGGAAUGCGUGGUGUAGCGGUGAAAUGCAUAGAUAUCACGCAGAACCCCGAUUGCGAAGGCAGCAUACCGGUGCACAACUGACGCUCAGGCACGAAAGCGUGGGUAUCGAACAGGAUUAGAUACCCUAGUAGUC
rnacentral:rRNA from 1 species